rnacentral:rRNA from 1 species
UACGGAGGAUGCGAGCGUUAUCCGGAUUUAUUGGGCGUAAAGGGAACGCAGGCGGUCUUUUAAGUCUGAUGUGAAAGCCUUCGGCUUAACCGGAGUAGUGCAUUGGAAACUGGGAGACUUGAGUGCAGAAGAGGAGAGUGGAACUCCAUGUGUAGCGGUGAAAUGCGUAGAUAUAUGGAAGAACACCAGUGGCGAAAGCGGCUCUCUGGUCUGUAACUGACGCUGAGGUUCGAAAGCGUGGGUAGCAAACAGG